AUCCACUUCUUUUUUUCCUUCCUAAUUUCAUUUUUUCCCUUGGGUACAUAUAGUGGUAAAUGAUCAUUAUUGAGGCGUUCAUUAUAGGCAAUACUGGUUCACAGGCUUUGAUUAAUGUCUUCAACGCUCUGCUGCUUUUUUUAAUGGAAUUUCCUGAGUGACUUCACAAAUACGUUCAACCUCAUUUCAGAUUCUUGUUUUACUGCAGAGAACAAAUGUUGAAUAUUGUUCUAAACAAAAUGAAAGAUGCAUAUAGGAAACAGACAAAGAUUGCCUGCUAAAGUUUACUUUUCAAACUAAAGAUUUGCUAAUUAACUUCAAUUCUCUAGUUUCCGGCUUGGAUUUUAAUAACAUGUUUAUUUCCAUGCCUACACAGAAUUCAGAAUAUGAUGACUGGCCCAAAAUCUUAAAUCUGAGCUGCAUGAAAUAUGGAAUUAUUGAGAAACAGCAAGGCAGCUGAUGUUUUGGGAGUUUUUUUUUUUUUUUUUUUGGGAGGGUUUAAUUGGCUCUGACUGGAGCUUGAAUUCAAGACCUCACAGAGUUAAAGCUCAUUAGUCAUGUUAUGGGAGUAUUUUAAUUCGUAUCAUUGUGAACUUUGUUGAUAUAUUCAUGAUCAGACAUCUUAAUUCUUGUUUCUAAAACCCACCUGAUGCUGUGAACAUAUUCAAGCAUAUUUAUUUUAUUUUUAUUGGAAGAA